rnacentral:miRNA from 1 species
AUGUAUAUGUAUAUGUAUAUGUAUAUGUAUAUGUAUAUGUAUAUAUAUGCAAACACACACACACACACACACACACACACACACACACACACAC